CUCUGUGUUCCCGAGGAAUCCUCUCUAUAGCUGCUCCACUAUCACAUCGGGGACCACAGACAAAUGCUUAGGUGGGCAUCAAUUCCCUCCAGCAGAGAAACAGACAUUUUAGUAUGACCCAUGGGAGUCAUUGUAAGGAUUAAACGGAGUGACGUGUGCGCGCGCAUACAGAACAGAAAGAUGUGAAGGUGACAGCUAGUGGUUUCAGAAGACAAGAAGCACUUUGCAUUCGCUUUUCUUUUCGCCUUCCAGUCAAAGUGCGGACCAACCCACUCAUCAACGUCUCUCCCGGGUUCAGAGAAGACCCCAAGCUAGCGCUUGGCGAUGUGGCUUUCCUGCAUGCACGUCACUUCAGAGACGCGCUGGGGGACAUGGCGGCGUUUUAUUGUUACGUGGCCUGGAGUAAACCCGAGAACGUUUCAUAAGCAAUGGCCUUCUCAGAAAUACGCUCGUACCUCAGUAUGUUUAGAAGAGGAGGAAGAAGGCGUGUGAAAAGAUACUUGGUACUUGUAAGGGUUGAGAGGUAGCCCCCGUGAAGUCACAUUGUUCGGCUAUCAAAUAAUAGAUUGGGUCCUUCGAUUUCCAGCAAUAUGGUUUUCUGUGUAAUUUAAAAAUUUUGUCCAUUUCUAGAACUAAAGGAAUAAAGGCUGACUGAUGUCUAGCUGUA